ACGAAAUCUGGACAUUGCAACUGACGGGGUUUAGAUCAUGAAUACAGGAUAUUAUCCAAUCAAUAUUUAACUGUUUUGUUUUCUUUUUUAAAGAGGAAUUAAAAAGUUUUAAAGCGCAAAUCACAAAAUCAGAGUUUUGAUUAUUUUAGGACGGCUAGUAGAAAAAACGUGUCGUCUGCUUUUGUUUUGUUUUAAAAUGAGACGAAGGUUGAGGUGAGCAAUCCGGUAUUAAAGAUGACAUUCGAAAUUCAGUUGAAGAAAAGUGGAACUAGAAAAUGCUAUGACCUAGUAUAGAGGACUGGGACCUGCCGCCAAACCGGCACCUCCUGUAUCAACAGUGAUGGGUAAAAUGGUAAAACCUUCAGGAACCCGUGUCAACUCGAGCUCGCUGAGUUUCCCGUCCGCAAAUGUGACGCUGACUUGCUCCAGCAACUGAAGCUUUUAACGGUCUUGUACUUUAGGGAAUUUCUUGCUGCCUUUCCUGAUUUUAAAAUCAGAAGUCUGCAAGAGGAUUUCAAGACAACUCGAUGCUGCCGAUUUACCAAACUAUAUAAAAGGCCCCGAAUGACCAGUUAUAUUCUCACACAUCUUCUUAGCCAGGUACCAGUAAGGUUCCAACGU